CCUACGGGCGGCAGCAGUGAGGAAUAUUGGUCAAUGGACGAGAGUCUGAACCAGCCAAGUAGCGUGAAGGAUGACUGCCCUAUGGGUUGUAAACUUCUUUUAUAAAGGAAUAAAACGCGGCACGUGUGCCUUUUUGCGUGUACUUUAUGAAUAAGGAUCGGCUAACUCCGUGCCAGCAGCCGCGGUAAUACGGAGGAUCCGAGCGUUAUCCGGAUUUAUUGGGUUUAAAGGGAGCGCAGAUGGGUUGUUAAGUAAGUUGUGAAAGUUUGGGGCUCAACCGUAAAAUUGCAAUUGAUACUGGCAGGCUGGAGUACGGUUGAGGUAGGCGGAAUUCGGGGUGUAGCGGUGAAAUGCUUAGAUAUCACGAAGAACCCCGAUUGCGAAGGCAGCUUACUAAACUGUGACUGACAUUGAUGCUCGAAAGUGUGGGUAUCAAACAGGAUUAGAUACCCGAGUAGUC
rnacentral:rRNA from 1 species